CCGGCUGGCGUCACGGGCACGCCGCGGGACCGCUCCCGUGUGUUGGGGCGGUGGGAUCCCGCGGCGUUGUUUUCCCGGUGGCCCGGUCGCG
rnacentral:pre_miRNA from 12 species